GCUUAACACAUGCAAGUCGAGCGCCCCGCAAGGGGAGCGGCAGACGGGUGAGUAACGCGUGGGAAUCUACCCAUCUCUACGGAAUAACGCAUGGAAACGUGUGCUAAUACCGUAUACGUCCUUCGGGAGAAAGAUUUAUCGGAGAUGGAUGAGCCCGCGUUGGAUUAGCUAGUUGGUGGGGUAAAGGCCUACCAAGGCGACGAUCCAUAGCUGGUCUGAGAGGAUGAUCAGCCACACUGGGACUGAGACACGGGCCCCAGACUCCUACGGGAGGCAGCAGUGGGGAAUAUUGGACAAUGGGCGCAAGCCUGAUCCAGCCAUGCCGCGUGUGUGAUGAAGGCCCUAGGGUUGUAAAGCACUUUCACCGGAGAAGAUAAUGACGGUAUCCGGAGAAGAAGCCCCGGCUAACUUCGUGCCAGCAGCCGCGGUAAUACGAAGGGGGCUAGCGUUGUUCGGAUUUACUGGGCGUAAAGCGCACGUAGGCGGACUAUUAAGUCAGGGGUGAAAUCCCGGGGCUCAACCCCGGAACUGCCUUUGAUACUGGUAGUCUUGAGUUCGAGAGAGGUGAGUGGAAUUCCGAGUGUAGAGGUGAAAUUCGUAGAUAUUCGGAGGACACCAGUGGCGAAGGCGGCUCACUGGCU
rnacentral:rRNA from 1 species